rnacentral:hammerhead_ribozyme from 1 species
ACCUAAAUGAAGAGUCUCAACUAAGACGAAACGCGCAUCCUAGAU